GACGAACGCUGGCGGCGUGCUUAACACAUGCAAGUCGAGCGGUAAGGCCCUUUCGGGGGUACACGAGCGGCGAACGGGUGAGUAACACGUGGGUGACCUGCCCUCAGCUCCGGGAUAAGCCUGGGAAACUGGGUCUAAUACCGGAUAUGACUCCAUGACGCAUGUCGUGGGGUGGAAAGCCUUGUGCGGCUGGGGAUGGGCCCGCGGCCUAUCAGCUUGUUGGUGGGGUGAUGGCCUACCAAGGCGACGACGGGUAGCCGGCCUGAGAGGGCGACCGGCCACACUGGGACUGAGACACGGCCCAGACUCCUACGGGAGGCAGCAGUGGGGAAUCUUGCGCAAUGGGCGAAAGCCUGACGCAGCGACGCCGCGUGAGGGAUGACGGCCU
rnacentral:rRNA from 1 species